ACGAACGCUGGCGGCGUGGAUAAGACAUGCAAGUCGAACGAGAGAAUUGCUAGCUUGCUAAUAAUUCUCUAGUGGCGCACGGGUGAGUAACACGUGAGUAACCUGCCCCCGAGAGCGGGAUAGCCCUGGGAAACUGGGAUUAAUACCGCAUAGUAUCGAAAGAUUAAAGCAGCAAUGCGCUUGGGGAUGGGCUCGCGGCCUAUUAGUUAGUUGGUGAGGUAACGGCUCACCAAGGCGAUGACGGGUAGCCGGUCUGAGAGGAUGUCCGGCCACACUGGAACUGAGACACGGUCCAGACACCUACGGGUGGCAGCAGUCGAGAAUCAUUCACAAUGGGGGAAACCCUGAUGGUGCGACGCCGCGUGGGGGAAUGAAGGUCUUCGGGUUGUAAACCCCUGUCAUGUGGGAGCAAAUUAAAAAGAUAGUACCACAAGAGGAAGAGACGGCUAACUCUGUGCCAGCAGCCGCGGUAAUACAGAGGUCUCAAGCGUUGUUCGGAAUCACUGGGCGUAAAGCGUGCGUAGGCUGUUUCGUAAGUCGUGUGUGAAAGGCGCGGGCUCAACCCGCGGACGGCACAUGAUACUGCGAGACUAGAGUAAUGGAGGGGGAACCGGAAUUCUCGGUGUAGCAGUGAAAUGCGUAGAUAUCGAGAGGAACACUCGUGGCGAAGGCGGGUUCCUGGACAUUAACUGACGCUGAGGCACGAAGGCCAGGGGAGCGAAAGGGAUUAGAUACCCCUGUAGUCCUGGCAGUAAACGGUGCACGCUUGGUGUGCGGGGAAUCGACCCCCUGCGUGCCGGAGCUAACGCGUUAAGCGUGCCGCCUGGGGAGUACGGUCGCAAGAUUAAAACUCAAAGAAAUUGACGGGGACCCGCACAAGCGGUGGAGUAUGUGGCUUAAUUCGAUGCAACGCGAAGAACCUUACCUGGGCUUGACAUGUAAUGAACAACAUGUGAAAGCAUGCGACUCUUCGGAGGCGUUACACAGGUGCUGCAUGGCCGUCGUCAGCUCGUGUCGUGAGAUGUUUGGUUAAGUCCAGCAACGAGCGCAACCCCUAUUGUUAGUUGCUACGCAAGAGCACUCUAGCGAGACUGCCGUUGACAAAACGGAGGAAGGUGGGGAUGACGUCAAAUCAUCAUGCCCUUUAUGACUUGGGCUACACACGUACUACAAUGGCGUUAAACAAAGAGAAGCAAGACCGCGAGGUGGAGCAAAACUCAGAAACAACGUCCCAGUUCGGACUGUAGGCUGCAACCCGCCUACACGAAGCCGGAAUCGCUAGUAAUGGCGCAUCAGCUACGGCGCCGUGAAUACGUUCCCGGGUCUUGUACACACCGCCCGUCACAUCAUGGAAGCCGGUCGCACCCGAAGUAUCUGAAGCCAACCGCAAGGAGGCAGGGUCCUAAGGUGAGACUGGUAACUGGGAUG
rnacentral:rRNA from 1 species